rnacentral:rRNA from 1 species
UACGUAGGGGGGCUAGCGUUGUCCGGAAUCAUUGGGCGUAAAGCGCGUGUAGGCGGCCCGGUAAGUCCGCUGUGAAAGUCGGGGGGCUCAACCCUCGAAAGCCGGUGGAUACUGUCGGGCUCGAGUGCGGAAGAGGCGAGUGGAAUUCCUGGUGUAGCGGUGAAAUGCGCAGAUAUCAGGAGGAACACCGAUUGCGAAGGCAGCUCGCUGGGACGUUACUGACGCUGAGACGCGAAAGCGUGGGGUAGCAAACAGG